AGGAUGAACGCUGGCGGUGUGUCUAAUACAUGCAAGUCGAGCGCCCCUUCGGGGGAGCGGCAGACGGGUGAGUAACGCGUUGGUAUCUGCCCCAAAGUGAGGGAUAACCCCGCGAAAGCGGGGCUAAUACCGCAUGUGCCCGCAAGGGUAAAGCUUUUGCGCUUUGGGAGGAGCCUGCGUAAUAUCAGCUUGUUGGUGAGGUAAAGGCUCACCAAGGCUAUGACGUUUAGCUGGUCUGAGAGGAUGAUCAGUCACAAGGGAACUGAGACACGGUCCCUACUCCUACGGGAGGCAGCAGUAAAGAAUAUUCCGCAAUGGGCGAAAGCCUGACGGAGCGACACCGCGUGGAGGAUGACAGCCCUUGGGUUGUAAACUCCUUUUCUGGGGGAAGAAGUUCUGACGGUACCCCAGGAAUAAGCAUCGGCUAACUACGUGCCAGCAGCCGCGGUAAUACGUAGGAUGCAAGCGUUAUCCGGAAUCAUUGGGCGUAAAGCGUUCGUAGGCUGUUUGUUAAGUUGGGGGUGAAAUCUCUGGGCUCAACCCAGAGCUCGUUCUCAAAACUGGCAAACUCGAGAGAGGCAGAGGCUGACGGAAUUCUGUAAGUAGGGGUAAAAUCCGUUGAUCUACAGAGGAACACCAAAAGCGAAGGCAGUCAGCUGGGCCUUUUCUGACGCUGAGGGACGAAAGCGUGGGUAGCGAACGGGAUUAGAUACCCCGGUAGUCCACGCCGUAAACGAUGGAUACUCGACGUUGAUGUACGAUCGCAUCAGUG
rnacentral:rRNA from 1 species